rnacentral:tRNA from 1 species
UGCAUCGGCCGGGAAUCGAACCCGGGCGCCCGCGUGGCAGGCGAGCAUUCUGCCACUGAACCAAAAGC